UUUUUGGAUGGUGCCUCGAAAUGUCUUACAGAGAGCCACAUAGUCUACAACUAGACCCGAUAAUUUUUCUGUGGUAUUUUUUAAAAUCAAUCUUUUAAAAAAAAUAAUAAAACAAAAAAAUAAAUAUCUAAUGAUUAUAAUUAUUAACAUAAUAAAAUAAAUUAUAUUGAUGAUAAAUAUUUUAAAAGGAAAAUAUAAUAUUAAUAAACCAAAAAAAUGAAAAGGGGCAAAAUCCACCAGAAACCAAUAGGAAUACAAAGCAAUAGAAAAAAACACAAUGAGC
rnacentral:lncRNA from 1 species